ACCUUCCCCCUUCCUUCACCCUUAAACGCGCUGUUCCCAGGCCCUUUGCUUUCGGAGGAGGGCUUUGGUCCCGCUGGGGCGCAGAGACCGCGACUCCGCGGCCGGCGCAGUCGAGGCGCCCAAGCGUGGGGUUCGGUCCAACUUGCUCACAGAGUUCAGAUACGACAAUGUACCUGCCGGACCCCCUCCCUCGCCCCGCCCCCCACCCGGCUGCCCUGGCGAUCCCCAAGGGCAGGAUCGUUCACAGACACCCGCGCUCAGAGGCCUUCCCGGCCCCCCUCUAGCCUCCAGGGCCCCCUAAAUCUUAGCGAGCCCCAAACCGUGUUGGAGCCCCUUCCCUGCAGCUCCUCCGGGAGCGUCGUUUCCAGCUGGGUCGCGGCGGCUCCGCUCCGCCCCGGCCCUCGGGGGGCGGGGAAGCCGGGCGCGGGGGAGCGCGGGGAGCCCGAGGCAGAGCAGGCGGGCGUCCUCCCGGGGUGCGCGCGGUCGCCCCUCGCCCCCCGCAGUCCCUCCCGGGCUCGCGCGCUUCCUCCCACUCUCCGGCUGCGCCCAGGGCUCCGCGGCGCACUCGGAGGCGCUGGGGCGGGCGGCGGCGGCGGCCGGCGGGGGGCUGGCGGGUCCCGUGGGGCGGCUGAGCCCCGAGGUCGGCUCCUCGCGGUCGGAGCCCAGCGCCGGGGCGGCGGCGGCGGCGGAGGGCGGGGAGGAGGCGCCCGGGGAGCGCCGCGCGCGUGGGAAACGCUCGCCGCUGCGCCGGGAGGGAUUGGGGCUGGGCCGGCGGCGGGCGGGGCGGGGCGGCGGCGUCCCCGCAGCCCGAGGAGCGGCCGGGGGCUCCGGGGCGCACUGGCUGCAGGCGGCGGCCGUCGGGGGCGACGCGCGCCAGGCGGGGCUGAUGGGGCGGCCCGGGCUCCCCACCGCCCCCCCGGCCGCGCGGGCUCGGCUGUGCCGGGCGCUCCCGCCAGGGGGCGGCGCAGGGCGGGCGGCGGACGGCGGCGGGGUCGGGAGCCCGCGACAGGCUUCAGGGGCCGCCUCACCUGGGCUCGUCGUCGCCCCCCAGCCCAGGGCCUGCGGAGGCCGCGGGAGCUGCGCCUCCAGCAUCCUAUGUUCGCUGUGUUGCCCUUUGGAGACCAAGCAAGGUAG
rnacentral:lncRNA from 1 species